rnacentral:rRNA from 1 species
UCCUGGCUUAGGAUGAACGCUGGCGGCGUGCUUAACACAUGCAAGUCGAACGAAGCAACUUCUGCUGCAGAAAUGACUAGUGGCGGACGGGUGAGUAACGCGUGGGUAACCUGCCCCAUACAGGGGGGAUAACAGUUGGAAACGACUGCUAAGACCGCAUAACCCGCUAGUGUCGCAUGACACGGACGGAAAAUAUUUAUAGGUAUGAGAUGGGCCCGCGUCUGAUUAGCUAGUUGGUAAGGUAACGGCUUACCAAGGCGACGAUCAGUAGCCGACUUGAGAGAGUGAUCGGCCACAUUGGGACUGAGACACGGCCCAAACUCCUACGGGAGGCAGCAGUGGGGAAUAUUGGACAAUGGGGGAAACCCUGAUCCAGCGAACCGCCGCGUGAGUGAAGAAGUAUUUCGGUAUGUAAAGCUCUAUCAGCAGGGAAGAUAAUGACAGUACCUGACUAAGAAGCCCCGGCUAACUACGUGCCAGCCGCUGC